rnacentral:lncRNA from 1 species
UGAGAGUUUUGUGUUGAGUGUGUACUUCACUGUAGAUAAGACAGUGUUAAAUAUUUCCUAGUGCUGUUGCGCCGUGUUGCCUUCUGCUCAGCAACGGGAGAGGGUGUCUUUCCAGCACACCACACCCUCUUCAGUCUUCAAGUGCCAUUGCUUUUAUAUUUUGCAUUCUAACAGGUUGUAAUGGGAUCAAACGUUGACUUCAAGGGUGUGCAUUGGUGAGCACAUUUCCUUUCUUUUACUGGCUUUUUAUGUCUUUUCUUUCAGGAAGUUCCUGUCCGAACGGGUAUCCUCUCAUCCAUUCCUUCCCUCAUCCACCCCUGCAUCCAGGUUCUUAUGUGGUGCUGGGAACACGAUCACUGCACAGGUCUUCUGAUCACACAGCCCCUAAUUUACUCCGAGACCUUUCCCUCAGACCCAGUUGUCCACUCUUUCAUCUUAGUGGGUCUCCAGUUCUUCUACGUGCAGUUCCCUAUCAGGACUUUGUUCUCUGAUCUCCUCACAGUGCACCACCCCCACCGUGUGCUUUACGCAAAGGGUAUUCCUAGGCAGAUGGUUGGACCUGGAGGGCAUCAUCCUGAGUGAGGUAACACAAUCACAAAAGAACUCAAAUAAUAUGUACUCACUGAUAAGUGGAUAUUAGCCCAGAAACUUAGUAUAGUGAGAUAUAAGGUACAAUUUGCAAAACACAUGAAACUGAAGAAGAACGAAGACCAAAGUGUGGACACUUUUCCCAUUCUUAGAA